rnacentral:rRNA from 1 species
GACGAACGCUGGCGGCGUGCUUAACACAUGCAAGUCGAACGGAAAGGCCCUUUCGGGGGUGCUCGAGUGGCGAACGGGUGAGUAACACGUGGGUGAUCUGCCCUGAACUUUGGGAUAAGCCUGGGAAACUGGGUCUAAUACCGGAUAUGACCAGUGGGUGCAUGCUUGCUGGUGGAAAGCCUUGUGCGGUUUGGGAUGGGCCCGCGGCCUAUCAGCUUGUUGGUGGGGUAAUGGCCUACCAAGGCGACGACGGGUAGCCGACCUGAGAGGGUGAUCGGCCACACUGGGACUGAGACACGGCCCAGACUCCUACGGGAGGCAGCAGUGGGGAAUAUUGCACAAUGGGCGCAAGCCUGAUGCAGCGACGCCGCGUGA